CCUCCCUGGUAGUGCCCUUCCCCAGAACAAGACCUCUUGUGACAUCAAGGUCACCAAAGCCAUUCCUGCCUCCUCCUAGGAGGCUUUGAGGCUAAGCAGUGUGGGUAGAGACGGGGUUUCAACAUAUUGGCCAGGCUGGCUCCAACUCCUGACCUUGUGAUCCGCCUGCCUUGGUCUCCCAAAGUGCUGGGAUUACAGGCGUGAGCCACCGCGCCCACUCCAAUGGCUUCUUGCAGGAAGAGAGGCGAAUAGCGUGAGUCAAGAGAAUCCCCUCACUCAGACACCCAGGUUCGGGUCCCAACUUUGUCGCCGUGUGACCUUGGGCAAAUGACCUCACCUCUGAGCCUCAACGUCUUCUUCUGCAAAAUGGGUUAGUGAUCCUGACUAUGGGGCUGUUGAUUCAGGAUUCGGCGGGAACGCCCAGCACUUCCUGAGUACACAAGAGUGCUGAGAAAAUGGUAGCUGUUUUUUGCGAUUACUGACUCGGGGCCCGACCAGCUCUGGCACGACUCAGCGGAGGUGGGAGUCCUGCGGGUCCCAUCCCUGCCUCCCGGAGAGCCAGACCCCAGCGAUAGAAGGCCCGGGCGUUGCUUGCUCGUCGCCGCUAGUGCCGCCGCGCCCCCUGGCGGCCGUCGGUUGCCAUGUCAACGGAGGGUGG
rnacentral:lncRNA from 10 species